AACGAACGCUGGCGGCAGGCUUAACACAUGCAAGUCGAACGCCCCGCAAGGGGAGUGGCAGACGGGUGAGUAACGCGUGGGAAUCUACCCAUCCCUACGGAAUAACGCAUGGAAACGUGUGCUAAUACCGUAUACGCCCUACGGGGGAAAGAUUUAUCGGGUAUGGAUGAGCCCGCGUUGGAUUAGCUAGUUGGUGGGGUAAAGGCCUACCAAGGCGACGAUCCAUAGCUGGUCUGAGAGGAUGAUCAGCCACAUUGGGACUGAGACACGGCCCAAACUCCUACGGGAGGCAGCAGUGGGGAAUAUUGGACAAUGGGCGCAAGCCUGAUCCAGCCAUGCCGCGUGAGUGAUGAAGGCCUUAGGGUUGUACAGCUCUCUCACCGGAGAAGAUAAUGACGGUAUCCGGAGAAGAAGCCCCGGCUAACUUCGUG
rnacentral:rRNA from 1 species